AUACGUAGGGGGCGAGCGUUGUCCGGAAUGAUUGGGCGUAAAGGGCGCGUAGGCGGCCCGGUAAGUCUGGAGUGAAAGUCCUGUUUUUAAGAUGGGAAUUGCUUUGGAUACUGUCGGGCUUGAGUGCAGGAGAGGUAAGUGGAAUUCCCAGGGUAGCGGUGAAAUGCGUAGAGAUUGGGAGGAACACCAGUGGCGAAGGCGACUUACUGGACUGUAACUGACGCUGAGGCGCGAAAGUGUGGGGAGCAAACAGGAUUAGAUACCCUGGUAGUCCACACUGUAAACGAUGAAUGCUAGGUGUAGGGGGUAUCGACCCCUUCUGUGCCGCAGUCAACACAAUAAGCAUUCCGCCUGGGGAGUACGGCCGCAAGGUUGAAACUUAAAUGAAUUGGCGGGG
rnacentral:rRNA from 1 species